GUGUUACGGGACUCAAACAAGAUUAAUAUCGCAAAGAAACGGUGUGAUUAGAGAUAUAGAGAGAAUUUCAAUUCUCCCCGUACAUGGGGAGAGUUUCAACUCCCACCAUAUAAGAGGAGAGCUUUGGGGGGCCUACGUGGGGAGGGGUUACAGGGCACCGUUGGAGGUCGCCUUACCCACCACUCUAGUGGACUAACUAAAUUGGGCUUCUAUUUUUUUUUCAACUGACAUCUCGGCCCCACCUGUCAUUCUCUUCUGUCUCCCCUGCCCGUCCGAGCCCAGGGAGCGCUCUGCCCCCGCGCCGCCGGCGCGCGCGCCACUGCCACCGUCCGGCGCCGCCGCCCGCUCGGCGUCCACCCGCCGCCUCGACCCCGCACGUCCCGCCUCCCCUGUCGGCGCCACCUCCCUACCUUCCCUGGCCGCCACCCCCUACCUCCCCCCCUCCGCUGAUUCCAGCCGCCGGCGCCGACCUGCCCCACGUACGCCUCCCUGCCGGCUGUCCUCCGCAAGGGCCGCCUCCCGACCACCGCCCGGCGGCGCCUCCCCGCCUUCGUCGCCGCGAGGUGGAGCCAGCACCGCCGACGCCCAGGCAAGGUGUUCCUAAGGACUACGAGCAUCGUGAUCCGCAGAUGUUGGAGGAGUUCCUCAAGAUGCAUCAAGGGACCGAGGAUAAAUCGACACAUGAGCAGCUCCGAAACAAUCUCGUCGAGCAUUUGUGGGCGAUCCAUAGUUUUAGGUAGUUGAGGUAUUCAGGCGUAAACCAACUCCUGGCUACCAGCAUCUUGAUGGAGUACUACAAGGAUGCAUCUUGAUGGAGUACUACAAGCAUGCAUCUUCCAAAGGAGGAAGAGGUUGCAAAAAAAAAAGCUAGCAAAGAAGACAUGAGAGACUCUGAAUAUUGGAUCAUUGUAAGUUACAAUGAUAGAUAGCACUGUGGAUCAUUGUAACUCUGAAUAGUAGAUCAUUGUAACUCUGUUACUCUGAAUAUUGGACUCUGAAUAUUAGAUCAUUGUAACUCUGAAUAUUAGAUCAUCUUGAUUCUGCAUUGUGGAUCAUUCUGAAUUAUGUUUGCCUGACUGUAAUAUGCACAAUAAGUGGUUUUUGUUCAUUCUGAAUUAUGUCUGACAUUUUUGCUA